UACGUAGGGGGCAAGCGUUGUCCGGAUUUAUUGGGCGUAAAGAGCGUGUAGGCGGCCAUACAGGUCCGUUGUGAAAACUCGAGGCUCAACCUCGAGACGUCGAUGGAAACCGUAUGGCUAGAGUCCGGAAGAGGAGAGUGGAAUUCCUGGUGUAGCGGUGAAAUGCGCAGAUAUCAGGAAGAACACCCGUGGCGAAGGCGGCUCUCUGGGACGGUACUGACGCUGAGGUGCGAAAGCGUGGGGAGCAAACAGG
rnacentral:rRNA from 1 species